GAGCGGCGGACGGGUGAGUAAUGCAUCGGAACGUAUCCCGUAGUGGGGGACAACCCAGCGAAAGCUGGGCUAAUACCGCAUAUGCUUACGGAGGAAAGCGGGGGACCGUCUAGAAACUUAGACGGCCUCGCGCUAUGGGAGCGGCCGAUGUCCGAUUAGCUAGUUGGUGGGGUAAAGGCUUACCAAGGCGACGAUCGGUAGCUGGUCUGAGAGGAUGAUCAGCCACACUGGGACUGAGACACGGCCCAGACUCCUACGGGAGGCAGCAGUGGGGAAUUUUGGACAAUGGGGGCAACCCUGAUCCAGCCAUGCCGCGUGCGGGAAGAAGGCCUUCGGGUGGUAAACCGCUUUUGGUCGGGAAGAAAGGGUCUUUCCUAAUAGGGGAGACUGUUGACGGUACCGGCAGAAUAAGCACCGGCUAACUACGUGCCAGCAGCCGCGGUAAUACGUAGGGUGCGAGCGUUAAUCGGAAUUACUGGGCGUAAAGCGUGCGCAGGCGGUAAGUUAAGUCUGAUGUGAAAGCCCCGGGCUCAACCUGGGAAUGGCAUUGGAAACUGGCUUGCUGGAGUGUGGCAGAGGGGGGUGGAAUUCCGCGUGUAGCAGUGAAAUGCGUAGAGAUGCGGAGGAACACCGAUGGCGAAGGCAGCCCCCUGGGCCAACAC
rnacentral:rRNA from 1 species